CAACAGUUUAAGUUGAAAGAAAGUGGGAAUCACCUAUGUGAAAUCGUAAAUCUGGCCGAGACAAAAGAUGCCCUGAAUGCUUGGGAGCGUACUUGGUCUUCAUCAGCGAGGAGCCAGCUCAUUGAUCGAAAGCGAGAAAAAGGUGCAUCAAAUGGAUAUCUUGAACAGCAGAACCUACAACCAAUUGUUUUGGUCGAUCAUAUCGCUGGUGAAGUUGAACAGUCUGUAAAACGGAAAAGAACCUCUUCUGUAAAUCAGCAUGUCAAGAAAAGAAAUACUGCAGAAAAGGGACAAACGAAAAAAGGGACGUCGGCUUCAAAGGCAGCUUCUACACCUAAAACUAAAGCAACAAAAGCAGCAUCCACACCAAAAGCAACAUCAACAAUAGUGACUGCACAAAAGGGACAAACGAAACAAGGGACGUCAGCCCCAAAGGCAGCUUCUACACCUAAAACUAGAGAACCGAAAGCAGCAUCCACACCAAAAGCAACAUCAACAAUAGAGGUAAGUAAAAGAAGUUAUUCAGAUGAUUCAAUAGACAAUCCCAGAAAAAAAUAACUGCAGGAUUACCGCCCAUGAAUACUCGUGCACGCCUCAAACGAUACUGAAGAACAAAACAAGGACCUAUAUUUUGUAUAGGUCUCUAAGCAAAAUAAGGAAGCGAAACAAUUUUAUUGAAUAGAUUUGAAGAUUUAAAAAGUUUCUGUUAUCGAUCUGAUAAUCACAUAAUAGUUCGUUUUUUUUAUAUAAAUAUAAGUUUUAAUAUAACGUUAUUAGUAGAAAUACGGUGUAUCUGCAUUCUUUUAAGAGUAAAAAAAACACAGCAUAAACAGGGACCUAUGUGUAUAGGUCCCUGGCACAAGUAAGGUCUUGAUUGUCAUUUAAUAUGUUAUUUAAAGGUGACACCUGAUAUCUUAUCUUAAUUAUGGCAUCUACACACGUGCAGACAUGUGAUGUCACGGGCAUACCCAUAAAUGCUUUUAAUACACACUUGGAACAUCGUCUCACAUUAAGCGAUUCGUUUGCGCCUUUAUUGCUGAUGUUUUUUUUUAAGACCUUUAUGUUGCUGAAAUUAAUAAUCUGUAAUUAACGAAGAAACAAAUCACUUAUUUUUUUAUUUUAUUUUGUAAUCGUAAAUUUGGACUUUAUAACCAAAAUUUA